rnacentral:lncRNA from 1 species
ACGUUGGACUCGCUAGGUGAGUCGACGGCGCUGCGAUACGAAUCAUUCGACUCGCCACGCGAGUUCAGUGGCAUUGCGUUAGGGUAAAAACUAUGUUCUGUUAUUUUUGUGGCCGUGACAGUGUACGUUACGUGUUUAAAGCAAUUAACUAGUAUAUGGUGUAAUUUAACAAAAAGAAAAUGGCAAGAAACACUAUAAAUAAACGAAAAGGCCACCACAAAACACAAUAACAUAGAACACAAGAAUCUCAAAGUCCAGAAAACGUUUGCCAGGGGUUAAAACAGUAGGUACUCCAACAGGUCCAGUAAUCGAAAGCCAAGUCACAAUGAUAGAAAACAAAUAUACGCGUGCGAUAAGGAAAGGGUCGUGCUUAACACUAAUCUAUAUAUAAAGAAAGUCGGGUUUGUUACAACACUUCACUCGAGAUUGACCAAUGAGAGCUUGGCAAAAACAAUGUUAUCAGUGCUUUUAUUGCUUACUAACCAGAGCGUUCAUGUUAAAAAAUACCGGUUCCUUUUGUUUUGCCGGCAAUUUUUAACAAUGCGAAGGGAUCCUCUUUCAGUUGUAACUCUUAAAGUAAUAGACCGAGAGUUGAGUUUGUGUUUUCUGCACCGUUCGUUUAACAAAAACGCAAGGACAGACUCAAAAACUUAGAAGUACCCAUUUGGUGAACACCAAAUUCGAGCCCCUACAAGGUGUCGAACACAAUCCGCCGUUGUUUUACGAGUGAAUGUGACUUUUGGUAAAAUGAAAAUAAAAGUAUCUACCUUUUAUAUAUUUCAUUUAUAAAAGUUUGAGAAUCUAUGUUAGUGAACUCGCCUAGCGAGUUCAAGGCAUUGCAGAAUAGUUUAUUUUCUUUCGAUUAUAAACUGGGUCUGCACACCCGGCCCACCACGUUAUUCAUUAGAUUAGUGUAUAUUUAGUCUUCAGUAUUAUUUUAAGCAGAAAAUACACAUGCAUUUUGAAAAAAAAUUGCAAAAACAUUGAACUCGCGAGGCGAGUCUACGGCGCUGGAAUAAAAUUUACGUGGACUCUCCGGGCGAGUCGGUGGCACUGAACGUGUUAA